GGGUUCGAUUAAGCCAUGCGAGUCGAGAGGGUUCGGCCCUCGGCGUACUGCUCAGUAACACGUGGAUAACCUGCCCUAGGGAAGGGGAUAACCCCGGGAAACUGGGGAUAAUACCCUAUAGAUUACAGAUGCUGGAAUGCCCUGUAAUCCAAAGUUCCGACGCCCUAGGAUGGAUCUGCGGCCGAUUAGGUUGUUGUUGGGGUAAUGGCCCAACAAGCCCGUAAUCGGUACGGGUUGUGGGAGCAAGAGCCCGGAGUUGGAUUCUGAGACACGAAUCCAGGCCCUACGGGGCGCAGCAGGCGCGAAAACUUUACAAUGCGGGCAACCGUGAUAAGGGAACCUCGAGUGCCUGUAAAUGCAGGCUGUUCAGGUGCCUAAAACACACCUGAAGAAAGGGCCGGGCAAGACCGGUGCCAGCCGCCGCGGUAAUACCGGCGGCUCGAGUGGUGGCCGCUUUUAUUGGGCUUAAAGCGUUCGUAGCUGGGUUGUUAAGUCUCUUGGGAAAUCUGGCGGCUUAACCGUCAGGCGUCUAAGGGAUACUGGCAAUCUUGGAACCGGGAGAGGUGAGAGGUACUUCGGGGGUAGGAGUGAAAUCCUGUAAUCCUCGAGGGACCACCUGUGGCGAAGGCGCCUCACCAGAACGGCUUCGACAGUGAGGGACGAAAGCUGGGGGAGCAAACCGGAUUAGAUACCCGGGUAGUCCCAGCCGUAAACUAUGCGCGUUAGGUGUAUCGGUGACCACGAGUUACCGAGGUGCCGAAGGGAAACCGUGAAACGUGCCGCCUGGGAAGUACGGUCGCAAGGCUGAAACUUAAAGGAAUUGGCGGGGGAGCACCACAACAGGUGGAGCCUGCGGUUUAAUUGGACUCAACGCCGGGAAGCUCACCGGAUAAGACAGCAGAAUGAUUGCCGGGCUGAAGACUCUGCAUGACUAGCUGAGAGGAGGUGCAUGGCCGUCGUCAGUUCGUACUGUGAAGCAUCCUGUUAAGUCAGGCAACGAGCAAGACCCACGCCAACAGUUGCCAGCAUGGUCUCCGGACUGAUGGGGACACUGUUGGGACCGCCUCUGCUAAAGAGGAGGAAGGAAUGGGCAACGGUAGGUCAGCAUGCCCCGAAUUAUCCGGGCUACACGCGGGCUACAAUGGGCAGGACAAUGGGCAUCGACACCGAAAGGUGAAGGCAAUCUUCUAAACCUGUCCUUAGUUCGGAUUGUGGGCUGCAACUCGCCCACAUGAAGCUGGAAUCUGUAGUAAUCGCGUUUCAAAAUAACGCGGUGAAUUUGUCCCUGCUCCUUGCACACACCGCCCGUCAAACCACCCGAGUGGGGUUGGAUGAGG
rnacentral:rRNA from 1 species